GGUUAGGGUUAGGGUUAGGGUUAGGGUUAGGGUUAGGGUUAGGGUUAGGGUUAGGGUUGGUUAGGGUUAGGGUUAGGGUUAGGGUUAGGGGUUAGGGUUAGGGUUAGGGUUAGGGUUGGUUAGGGUUAGGGUUAGGGUUAGGGUUAGGGUUAGGGUUAGGGUUAGGGUUAGGGUUAGGGUUUAGGGUUAGGGUUAGGGUUAGGGUUAGGGUUAGGGUUAGGGUUAGGGUUAGGGUUAGGGUUAGGGUUAGGGUUAGGGUUGGUUAGGGUUAGGGUUAGGGUUAGGGUUAGGGUUUAGGGUUAGGGUUAGGGUUAGGGUU